rnacentral:rRNA from 1 species
AGAGUUUGAUCAUGGCUCAGGACGAACGCUGGCGGCGCGCCUAACACAUGCAAGUCGAACGAGAGAGAAGGAGCUUGCUUCUUCGAUCGAGUGGCGAACGGGUGAGUAACGCGUGAGGAACCUGCCUCAAAGAGGGGGACAACAGUUGGAAACGACUGCUAAUACCGCAUAAGCCCACGGGUCGGCAUCGACCUGAGGGAAAAGGAGCAAUCCGCUUUGAGAUGGCCUCGCGUCCGAUUAGCUAGUUGGUGAGGUAACGGCCCACCAAGGCGACGAUCAGUAGGGGUUCUGAGAGGAAGGUCCCCCACAUUGGAACUGAGACACGGUCCAAACUCCUACGGGAGGCAGCA